AGUAAACAAGAACAGACGCAGAGUGUGGAGCGAGUGACGAACUAAAACUAUAUAAAGUGCAUUUGUAUGUGAAACUUAGCAGUUUCGCGGAAAACAGACAACAAUAGCGACCUAGGGGAUUCAGGACCUUUUUGCAACGUCUUGGCGAUGGAGUAAACUCACAGGCUGCAGGUCGUUCACGCUGAUCGGGAUCUCUCUCAGAGUCAGCAGCAGGUCGAGCUGUGUGCUCAGGCAUGGGAUGUUGCACAUCUGGAGCGGGGAGAAGAAUGGCAUUCAGGCUGACUGCAGAGCAGGUGUGUGCCUCCAGAAGUACACGAGGUCUCUUGUGUAAGACUGGUGUCAAAUAUUCCUGAAGGCACUGUGGGCGCAUCCUGCUGUUCUUCUGUUACCCCUCCUGCAGCCUCUAUCCAACCACACGGGUCAGAUGGCUGCCAGGCAUGCUGGAAGGUGAUAACCAGAUGAAUGGUAAGAGCUUGUCACGACGCCCACAGUGUGAGAACGAAGAGGCAGGUGAAUGACGACUCUUAAAGAACGUGCUCCAUGAGAAGGAGCCGCAUUAGAUUCGGCGUAUUUCGUUCUGGUAAUUGUGAGUCUGGGGAAGUUAAAGUAUACCUCCAUCAUGUACUGGUCCACAAUAUGCAGCUCUGUCACGGGUCCCGUGUGGGAUUUGUACAUUUCCACAUCAUCCAGCGUUGGGACGUACCUUGAACACAGAAAUAAACAUAACAAUAUCACUCUUCUCGUUAGAUGCCGUACCAGAUUUUAAAAUACUUGAAUCUGCUUCUUGCUAUGAGUGUUGGCUUCCUACACAAGUGAACAAGCAAAGUUAUGUACCAGAAAGUAGUGAGUUAUAAAAAGAGACCUGGGGCGGGGGGGGUUCAUCACUAUGCAUGACCCCAUCACAUUACAUACAUGUCAUUUGAUCCAUUAUCAUUAUAUAAUUAUUGAAUAAAGCCCAUUUAAGUACAUUAUUAAUAUUAAACUGAGACAUAAUAGUCCCAGGUUAAAGUCACAAUAAGUAAUGUACAAUGUAGUAAAUGUCUUAAUGAGUGCAUUUUGAAAAUGUAUACUAGUCAACUGUAUAUGGGUUUGUGCUUGAAUACAUUAAAGAAGUACCUCCUAGGCUUAUUUUAUUGAUGGUACUACAACCUGUGUGCGAAAUAUGGGGGGGUCUCUCCCUUUGCUCAUCUGGUUUUUAUUUAUAAAGUUUAUUCAUUUGCAUCUUAUGUUGAAAACUACAAAUAUAACCGGAUUAAUAAAUGUAUGUGACCGUUUGUGAGCGUUUUCUUUUCCUAUCUCACGUACUUUCCUCUUGUUGACCUUUGCAUCUUUAUGUCGCCCCCAUGUACUUUAUCUCCCCGCCUUG